rnacentral:piRNA from 1 species
UGGGAACCAGAUAGGUUAUUAAAAGGCCAGC